ensembl:lncRNA
UGCCCAGAGAGCCUGGGAAGUGCACUGUCUGCUGAUCCCCUUAGGACAAUGCCUCUGUGAAGUGUCAUCGGGAACAGCACACACAGCUGAACUAUUUCUAGUGCAAAGAACUACUUUUUUACAGCAAGCCAAUCAUGACAGAUCUCCCAGUGCCUGAGCGUUGUCAGCAUGAUAAAAUGUCUAAGAAAGGAGAAGGAUGUACCUUGCAUUCUGAAAAUGUUGAAGUUUCCAGAUGGUGCUAGGGAGGAGGCGCAGAUAAUAGCAACACAGGGCUUUUAAUGGAGGACGGUUCAUAUCCAAGACAUAGAAGCUCAUCCAAGAAAAGGCAAGUGUCCUCUAAUUUGAUUGGGCAGGUUAUUAGUGUCCCACUCAUUGGAAAAUUAAAGGAAAAUGAAUGUGUGUGCUAACCUGUUACCAAUGAAAUCUAAUAAAUAGCUUCUCCACUUGGCC